UCCUCCAUAGCUCAGUGGUUAGAGCGUCCAACCGGCACCUGGAAGGUCAUGGGUUCGAUUCCCGUUGGGGAGCUCAGAA
rnacentral:tRNA from 1 species